AAUGAAUUUAAAUUUUGUUUUCUUUUUCUUCUUUAGCCACUCUUAUUAAGGGGCUUUUGUCGUUCGAGAAAAAAAAGAAGACAAAAUUUUAAAGCCCCCUCUUUUGGGGGCUUUUUUUAU
rfam:Providencia rustigianii DSM 4541 P_rustigianii-1.0.1_Cont3.2, whole genome shotgun sequence.